rnacentral:rRNA from 1 species
AUUGAACGCUGGCGGCAGGCCUAACACAUGCAAGUCGAACGAGUGGCGGACGGGUGAGUAAUGUCUGGGAAACUGCCUGAUGGAGGGGGAUAACUACGGGAAACGGUAGCUAAUACCGCAUACCAUCAGAUGUGCCCAAGUGGGAUUAGCUAGUUGGUGGGGUAAAGGCUCACCAAGGCGACGAUCCCUAGCUGGUCUGAGAGGAUGACCAGCCACACGGGAACUGAGACACGGCCCAGACUCCGACGGGAGGCAGCAGUGGGGAAUAGUGCACAAUGGGCGAAAGCCUGAUGCAGCCAUGCCGCGUGAAUGAAGAAGGCCUUCGGGUUGUAAAGUACUUUCAGUUGGGAGGCGUUACCCGCAGAAGAAGCACCGGCUAACUCCGUGCCAGCAGCCGCGGUAAUAC